rnacentral:tRNA from 1 species
AAAGAAUUAGUUUAAUAAAAAAUUUUAAUUUGUCAAAUUAAUAAUACUAUUUAGUAUUCUUUU